GACGAACGCUGGCGGCGUGCUUAACACAUGCAAGUCGAACGGAAAGGCCCUGCUUUUGUGGGGUGCUCGAGUGGCGAACGGGUGAGUAACACGUGAGUAACCUGCCCUUGACUUUGGGAUAACUUCAGGAAACUGGGGCUAAUACCGGAUAGGAGCUCCUGCUGCAUGGUGGGGGUUGGAAAGUUUCGGCGGUUGGGGAUGGACUCGCGGCUUAUCAGCUUGUUGGUGGGGUAGUGGCUUACCAAGGCUUUGACGGGUAGCCGGCCUGAGAGGGUGACCGGCCACAUUGGGACUGAGAUACGGCCCAGACUCCUACGGGAGGCAGCAGUGGGGAAUAUUGCACAAUGGGCGGAAGCCUGAUGCAGCAACGCCGCGUGCGGGAUGACGGCCUUCGGGUUGUAAACCGCUUUCGCCUGUGACGAAGCGUGAGUGACGGUAAUGGGUAAAGAAGCACCGGCUAACUACGUGCCAGCAGCCGCGGUGAUACGUAGGGUGCGAGCGUUGUCCGGAUUUAUUGGGCGUAAAGGGCUCGUAGGUGGUUGAUCGCGUCGGAAGUGUAAUCUUGGGGCUUAACCCUGAGCGUGCUUUCGAUACGGGUUGACUUGAGGAAGGUAGGGGAGAAUGGAAUUCCUGGUGGAGCGGUGGAAUGCGCAGAUAUCAGGAGGAACACCAGUGGCGAAGGCGGUUCUCUGGGCCUUUCCUGACGCUGAGGAGCGAAAGCGUGGGGAGCGAACAGGCUUAGAUACCCUGGUAGUCCACGCUGUAAACGGUGGGUACUAGGUGUGGGGUCCAUUCCACGGGUUCCGUGCCGUAGCUAACGCUUUAAGUACCCCGCCUGGGGAGUACGGCCGCAAGGCUAAAACUCAAAGGAAUUGACGGGGCCCCGCACAAGCGGCGGAGCAUGCGGAUUAAUUCGAUGCAACGCGUAGAACCUUACCCGGGUUUGACAUGGAUCGGGAGUGCUCAGAGAUGGGUGUGCCUCUUUUGGGGUCGGUUCACAGGUGGUGCAUGGCUGUCGUCAGCUCGUGUCGUGAGAUGUUGGGUUAAGUCCCGCAACGAGCGCAACCCUUGUUCACUGUUGCCAGCACGUUAUGGUGGGGACUCAGUGGAGACCGCCGGGGUCAACUCGGAGGAAGGUGGGGAUGACGUCAAGUCAUCAUGCCCCUUAUGUCCAGGGCUUCACGCAUGCUACAAUGGCUGGUACAGAGAGUGGCGAGCCUGUGAGGGUGAGCGAAUCUCGGAAAGCCGGUCUCAGUUCGGAUUGGGGUCUGCAACUCGACCUCAUGAAGUCGGAGUCGCUAGUAAUCGCAGAUCAGCAACGCUGCGGUGAAUACGUUCCCGGG
rnacentral:rRNA from 1 species